UUUAACUCAUACAAGGAGAACAUGCAACUCCACACAGAAAUGCCAACCAGCCCAGCCGAGAUAUAAACCAGCGGGCUUUCUGUGAGGCGACAGAGCUAACCACUGAGUCACCGUGUUGCCGGAGAUUACAUUUUUUUAUUUUAAUAAUUUAUCUCUGUCUAAUUUGGUUUUUCAAAAAAGUUUGUGAACCUGAAUAAAACAUUAGAUGGAAAUUGCAUAGUAAGGUUAGUGAUUAAGCUGGGAUUUACAAGCUAUCCUGGCCCUAUAACCUUGACACAGCUGCAUGAAAGCAGGCUAAAUUAAAACAUAUUAUUGUUCAUAUGUGAGCCUGGAUAACAAAAUCAUUUAUCGUCUGAUUAAAUACGCUUUCCAGUGAUAAAUUUGAGAUAUGAAAAAGCCUACACAGCGGCCUCUCAUGGAUUUGCGAAAACAAAAACUGCAAAAAUACGUACCUCCCGGGACGUAUUUUGCUGUCUCCAAAAAUGUCCACAGGACUAUAUUUUCAGAUUGAGCCUGGGUUGCAAGCAACAAGCAUUUAAACUUAAACACGCUCAAAUCAGCUGAUCAAAAAUAUAGGACCAUAGACCAAAAAAAAAAAAAACACGACAAUAGAACUAAAAUUGUCAAAAUGACCCAGUAGUAUGUAACACCUCCGUUCAGGUUGAUUACUUUAAACACUCAUUUCGGCAUACUUAAUACAAGUGUUUCCAGGAGGCUGGUGGUAACCUUGCUCCAUGUGGUUAAGAUGGCUUCAAGAAGGUCACCAACGGCCUGGAACUAGCGCCUGUUUUUGUAACUUCCCUUGCCAUCCAUCCCCAAAUGUUCUCAAUGGGAUUUAAUCAGGAGAGCAUGCAGAAUGGUCAUUGUAAAUUGCAGCAUUGUCCUGUUGAAAGAUCCAGUCAUUUUCUGCACAGACGAGGGUCCUCAGUCAAGAGGGUUGCCCGCUUCAAUAUGUAUAAAUAACCAGCAGUUGUUUGACAGGCCUGUUUAACCUGAAGCUCAAUUUUCAAAAUUUUAUUAAAAAGCACCCCAGAUCAUGAUGGAGCCUCCAAAACUGCUGUGUAGAAAACAUCUCCUGUGGAAUCUUGUUUUAUCAUGCCAGUAGCGUUGGAAACCAUCAGGACCAUCCUGGUAAAAAAAAAAAAAUCCUCAGAGAAUAAAAUUUUCUUCCACUUUGCAAUGCCCCAUGUUUGGUGCUCCCUUGCAACUUCCGAGCAGGCAAGCUUGUUGUGUGGGAGAAGAUGUGGCCUUUAAAAACAUUUUUUGUUCUUUAAGCUCUUCUCUCAAAGAUGUCUUCUCAUGGUUAUUGGGCUGCAGUCAGCAUCAGUGAGGACCUUAAUUUGGGUUGAGGAUCUGCCUGUGUCUUCUAGGACAGCCCUUUGGAUCCUCCGGCUCAGUGCAGCAAUGACGCACUGUGAGAGCCCUUGCUUGUGCAGCUCAACAAUUCUGCCACGUUCAAAGAGAGAAAGCCUUUUUGCCUUUGCCAUCUUGAGAUCAUGUGUGAUACAGGCCAAAGGAAAAUGACAGCAAAGACAGUUUUGCACAAAAUUGAGCUAUGCACACUGUAAAAAAAUAAACGUUAUUUUACAGGUAA